UAAUAAUUAGAUUUAGAAACUUAAAAGAUUUGGCGGUAAAUUAAUAAAAUUAGAGGAACUUGUAUAUUUAAAUAGAUAUUACUCAAUUUACCUUACUUUUUAUAUGGUUUAUAUAUUGCUGUUUAGAUUAUUUUAAAAGAAUUAAUAGUCUGAUUUUAAAAGGAAUUAAAAACAAGUCAAAGUGUAGCUUUUAAGAAGUUUAUAUGAGUUACAAUUAUUUAAAUAAUGGAAGAUUAGAUGCAAAAGCUUUUUUGAAAUUGGAUUUAAAAGUAUUUAUUAAUUCGAAAGUUUUAAAGAAUAAAAAUUUAAUUUAUGU
rnacentral:rRNA from 1 species